UGGGGAAUAUUGCACAAUGGGCGAAAGCCUGAUGCAGCAACGCCGCGUGAGUGAUGAAGGCCUUCGGGUUGUAAAGCUCUGUCUUUUGGGACGAUAAUGACGGUACCAAAGGAGGAAGCCACGGCUAACUACGUGCCAGCAGCCGCGGUAAUACGUAGGUGGCAAGCGUUGUCCGGAUUUUACUGGGCGUAAAGGAUGCGUAGGCGGAUUUUUAAGUGAGAUGUGAAAUACCCGGGCUUAACUUGGGUGCUGCAUUUCAAAACUGGGAAUCUAGAGUGCGGGAGAGGGGAAUGGAAUUUCCUAGUGUAGCGGUGAAAUGCGUAGAGAUUAGGAAGAACACCAGUGGCGAAAGGCGAUUCUCUGGACCGUAACUGACGCUGAGGCAUGAAAGCGUGGGUAGCAAACAGGAUUAGAUACCCUGGUAGUCCACGCCGUAAACGAUGAGUGCUAGGUGUAGAGGGUAUCGACCCCUUCUGUGCCGCAGUUAACACAAUAAGCACUCCGCCUGGGGAGUACGGCCGCAAGGGUUGAAACUCAAAGGAAUUGACGGGGUCAUAGCUGUUUUCCU
rnacentral:rRNA from 1 species